UCGAGAAUAUUUAGCAAUGGGCGAAAGCCUGACUAUGCGACGCCGCGUGAGGGAUGAAGGAUUUCGGUUCGUAAACCUCUUCCGAUGCGGAUGAAACUACUCCUAGAAAUAGGGGAACUGACAGUACGCAGAGAAGAAGCCAUGGCCAACUCCGUGCCAGCAGCCGCGGUAAUACGGGAUGGCGAGCGUUACUCGGAUUUACUGGGUGUAAAGGACAGGCAGGCGGCUUUGCAAGUUGAAGGUUAAAUCCUCUGACUCAAUCAGAGACAUGCCUUCAAAACUACAUUGCUUGAGGAUUUGAGAGGAGAGCGGAAUUCCCGGUGUAAGGGUGAAAUCUGUAGAUAGCGGGAGGAACACCUGUGGCGAAAGCGGCUCUCUAGCAAAUCCCUGGCGCUGAUCUGUGAAAGCUAGGGGAGCCAGCA
rnacentral:rRNA from 1 species